rnacentral:rRNA from 1 species
AGACGUAGGAUGCAAGCAUUGUCCGGAUUUAUUGGGCGUAAAGAGUUCGUAGGUGGUUUGUUAAGUCUGAUGUUAAAGACCGGAGCUCAACUUCGGAACUGCAUUGGAUACUGGCAGACUAGAGUAUGUUAGAGGCAAGCGGAAUUCCCAGUGUAGCGGUGAAAUGCGUAGAUAUUGGGAAGAACACCGGUGGCGUAAGCGGCUUGCUGGGACAUAACUGACACUGAGGAACGAAAGCCAGGGGAGC